AAAAAAAAAAAAAAAAGAAAACAAUGCAUGCGUGUCUUUUUUGUUAGUUGAAUUGUUGAGGUAACGGCAGUUACCGUUACCUAACGAUAAAUAACAGUCAUUACCAUUACUUAACGGUGGUAAUGGCUAUUACCACUGCAACUCAGCAUUUGCCUUUAAAUAAUGAGGUAAAGAAUAAUGGUCCCUUGAAAAACUCGUAAUGUUAUUUAAAACCUUGCUCACUUUAUAUAAUAGCAGUCUCCAAUCUCCACCAUCACCAAACCAAGACAACAUACAUGCAUCUUAUGAGGCAUAAAGCCAAGACAAAGUGGUGGAUUUAUGUGUCAAAUGAAAAGUAAUGUGGCUUCAAAAAACUGCAGCUCAACAACCCCGCGUUUUCAUUAUUUUUAUACUUUUCAUUUUGCUUCUCGUUAUCUUUAUUUAUUUAUGGAAAAUGUUGCUAAUAUUGGCUGUUUUUUAUUUAUUAUUUAAUAUAGAAAUAAUUAUAACACAAAUAAUUCCAUUGCACAAGCUAUGAUCCCACAAGCUGAUGUAUCAUCAUGCCCAGGCAUCCAAUUGGAAGCCGACACUUGGCUUCACUAAAAAAAGCUGCUUCAACAUUUUCUUUUUCAUUUUUGCUUUCAUUGUGAUGCUCAAACAAUUGGUUUGCAUUUUUGACAUUUAUAGUGUUAGUUUGCUUCAAGACUUCGCUAAUCUGUAACAAUUCACCCUGAUUUGAGAAUUACUUCUUGAGACACAGAGUUGAGGAUUAUUUUUUUCUUUUCACACAAAUCUCAUUUCCUUGAGCACUGUUGUUGGUAAUGUGUUUUAUGCUGUGUUUGGGAAAGAGGAAAAGGGUAGGGGGAGAGAAAUUGUUUCUUAAGAUGUGUGCCCUACAACCUCAUUUUCUCCCCCCCCCUCCCCUUCCCUCUGCCAAACAUGGCAUUAAGCUAAAUAGCUAAGCAAGAUAUUGAAUUAGAAGAUGAGCACCUCAUUUUCGCAAUGUGAAGGAUGUCUUAAUACAUUUAUCAUUCUUAUUUCUCUUUCCUUCCCUUCUUUUUCUGUGUUUUCAGCUAAGGGGAAUAUCAACUUUGCGUCCGUUUCCAUUGCUUGUCUUUUCUUUCUAU
rnacentral:misc_RNA from 1 species